rnacentral:lncRNA from 9 species
CAGAAAACCUGGCGAGUUCAUGGUGUAGGAAGCUGGUGGCGCAGACCCAAGUUUAUAUGGUGGCUAAGUAGUCAUAACCACCCCUUGGAGCUCCAGAAGGAACCGUUCCUUUCUCCUGGCUUUGCAAUCUGCCCACAUCUGUCUUUGGCUGGGAUGCGUUCCGUCCAUCUCCGUUUCCACCUGGAAACACUCUGGAUGAGAACAGUCCAGGUCAAUUGGUCUGCCAUUCCCUAAGAUGCUGCCAUCUUCCAUUUGGGUGAAGCUGGAUUGAUGCCGUCUUCAGGUCCCAGCCAUCGGACCCAGGGCCUGCCUAGCCUACAGCCUCCUCACCUGCAAAACCUCCCUACAUACUUGCCCCAGGCCCAGGGCGUGAUUGUUCUUAUCAAGGGCCUGCCCCUCUGCUGGUUUCACUGGUAACUGGUGAGCCAGCCUGACAUCAGUUCCCCCAGUUCCUGGCAAUCCCCCCGCUUCUCCUUGGAGUGAAGACUGCAGCCCUGUCCAGCCGGAAGUCCUCUGCACGUGGUGGCGUGUCACUCCAGGACCUUGCUUCAGGUGUGUAAGCUCCCCCAACCAUUAAGCCACUGAUGCCUCUGUAGCUGACUCAGCUCUUUGGUCUUGUUCAG